rnacentral:rRNA from 1 species
GUGUCAGCAGCCGCGGUAAUACGUAGGUGGCAAGCGUUGUCCGGAAUUAUUGGGCGUAAAGCGCGCGCAGGUGGUUUCUUAAGUCUGAUGUGAAAUCCCACGGCUUAACCGUGAGGGGUCAUUGGAAACUGGGAGACUUGAGUGCAGAAGAGGAAAGUGGAAUUCCAAGUGUAGCGGUGAAAUGCGGAGAGAUCUGGAGGAACACCAGUGGCGAAGGCGACUUUCUGGUCUGCACCUGACGCGGAG